rnacentral:rRNA from 1 species
UACGUAGGGGGCAAGCGUUGUCCGGAUUUAUUGGGCGUAAAGAGCGUGUAGGCGGCUGGGCAGGUCCGUUGUGAAAACUCGAGGCUCAACCUCGAGACGCCGAUGGAAACCCCCCAGCUAGAGUCCGGAAGAGGAGAGUGGAAUUCCUGGUGUAGCGGUGAAAUGCGCAGAUAUCAGGAAGAACACCCGUGGCUAAGGCGGCUCUCUAGUACGGUACUGACGCUGAGACGCGAAAGCGUGGGGAGCGAACAGG